UUGUGUGUGUGUUUUAUAAAGAAACACAUAUUCAAAACGUAAAAAUUAUAGGGUUUUCUGCACAUAGGUAUAGAAUUAUUUCCCUGAAUUAUAAGUUAUUCCUUUGUUGUUCUGUUACACCAUUGUUCAAGGUUAGAUAGAGAGAUUAAGGUCAGCACAAUUACAUACUCUCUUUGCAUGAACAACACAGCGAAUACCCGCUUUAGAAGAGUAGUGCUUUUCGAUUGCUCCGCUAGACGCCACUGGAUUUUGAUUUAGUAAAUGUUGCUUAUAUAUAUUAUCGUUUGUUGUUUCGUAUUGUUUGAAUGAUUGAUUGAUUGUUGGCUGCUUUACGCCACAUUAGCACAACAAG
rnacentral:lncRNA from 1 species